rnacentral:rRNA from 1 species
UACAGAGGGUGCAAGCGUUGUUCGGAAUCAUUGGGCGUAAAGCGUGCGUAGACGGUUAUGUAAGUCGGGUGUGAAAGCCCCGGGCUCAACCUGGGAAUUGCAUUCGAGACUGCAUAGCUAGGGUGCGGAAGAGGGAAGCGGAAUUUCCGGUGUAGCGGUGAAAUGCGUAGAUAUCGGAAGGAACACCAGUGGCGAAAGCGGCUUCCUGGUCCAGCACCGACGUUCAGGCACGAAAGCGUGGGGAGCAAACAGG